GUGCCAGCCGCCGCGGUAAUACGGAGGGUGCGAGCGUUAUCCGGAUUUACUGGGUUUAAAGGGUGUGUAGGCGGGCUGGUAAGUCAGGGGUGAAAUCCCGGAGCUCAACUCCGGAACUGCCUUUGAUACUACUGGUCUUGAAUAUUGUUGAGGUGGGCGGAAUGUGUCAUGUAGCGGUGAAAUGCAUAGAUAUGACACAGAACACCGAUUGCGAAGGCAGCUCACUGGGCAAUGAUUGACGCUGAGGCACGAAAGCGUGGGGAUCAAACAGGAUUAGAAACCCUCGUAGUCC
rnacentral:rRNA from 1 species